rnacentral:rRNA from 1 species
GAUGAACGCUGGCGGCGUGCUUAACACAUGCAAGUCGAGCGAGUGAGUUCUUCGGAACGAUCUAGCGGCGGACGGGUGAGUAACACGUGGGCAACCUGCCUCAUAGAGGGGAAUAGCCUCCCGAAAGGGAGAUUAAUACCGCAAAAAAUUAUCGAGUGGCAUCACAUGAUAAUCAAAGGAGUAAUCCGCUAGGAGAUGGGCCCGCGGCGGAUUAGCUAGUUGGUGAGGUAACGGCUCACCAAGGCGACGAUGCGUAGCCGACCUGAGAGGGUGAUCGGCCACAUUGGGACUGAGACACGGCCCAGACUCCUACGGGAGGCAGCAGUGGGGAAUAUUGCACAAUGGGGGAAACCCUGAUGCAGCAACGCCGCGUGAGUGAUGAAGGUCUUCGGAUUGUAAAGCUCUGUCUUUGGGGACGAUAAUGACGGUACCCAAGGAGGAAGCCACGGCUAACUACGUGCCAGCAGCCGCCGUAA